rnacentral:rRNA from 1 species
ACCCUUAGAUGUUCUGGGCCGCACGCGCGCUACACUGACGAAUGCAACGAGCUUAUAACCUUGGCCGAAAGGUCUGGGUAAUCUCCAAAUUUCGUCGUGAUGGGGAUAGAUUAUUGCAAUUAUUAAUCUUCAACGAGUAAUGCCUAGUAAGCGCAAGUCAUCAGCUUGCGUUGAUUACGUCCCUGCCCUUUGUACACACCGCCCGUCGCUCCUACCGAUUGAAUGGUCCGGUGAAGCGUUCGGACCGUGGCCUUUGGACGGUUCGCCGUCUGUUGGCUGCGGGAAGUUCGUUAAACCUUAUCAUUUAGAGGAAGGAGAANUCGUANCA